GAAUGCUGACAUAAGUAACGAUAAAGCGGGUGAAAAGCCCGCUCGCCGGAAGACCAAGGGUUCCUGUCCAACGUUAAUCGGGGCAGGGUGAGUCGACCCCUAAGGCGAGGCCGAAAGGCGUAGUCGAUGGGAAACGGGUUAAUAUUCCCGUACUUGGUGUUACUGCGAAGGGGGGACGGAGAAGGCUAUGUUGGCCGGGCGACGGUUGUCCCGGUUUAAGCGUGUAGGUGUGUGUUCCAGGUAAAUCCGGUUCACUUUAACACUGAGGCGUGAUGACGAGGCACUACGGUGCUGAAGCAACAAAUGCCCUGCUUCCAGGAAAAGCCUCUAAGCAUCAGGUAACAUCAAAUCGUACCCCAAACCGACACAGGUGGUCAGGUAGAGAAUACCAAGGCGCUUGAGAGAACUCGGGUGAAGGAACUAGGCAAAAUGGUGCCGUAACUUCGGGAGAAGGCACGCUGACAUGUAGGUGAAGUGAUUUACUCAUGGAGCUGAAGU
rnacentral:rRNA from 1 species